AGCUGGUCAGAAGGUAGGGAGUUAGCUCACUAUUGCUCAUAGUUAGUUACAGAUUGAACUCCUUGUUCCACCACUUUCUCCCCUUCUCCCUACUGUACUUGACUAGUCUAUA
rnacentral:Y_RNA from 1 species